rnacentral:misc_RNA from 1 species
GAUAAGAACGCAGCAAAAUGCGAUAAGUAAUGUGAAUUGCAGAAUUCAGUGAAUCAUCGAAUCUUUGAACGCACAUUGCGCCCGCCAGUAUUCUGGCGGGCAUGCCUGUUCGAGCGUCAUUUCAACCCUCAAGCACAGCUUGGUGUUGGGACUCGCGUUAAUUCGCGUUCCCCAAAUUGAUUGGCGGUCACGUCGAGCUUCCAUAGCGUAGUAGUAAAACCCUCGUUACUGGUAAUCGUCGCGGCCACGCCGUUAAACCCCAACUUCUGAAUGUUGACCUCGGAUCAGGUAGGAAUACCCGCUGAACUUAAGCAUAUCAAUAAGCGGAGGA